ensembl:misc_RNA 7SK 7SK RNA
GGAUGUGAGGGGAAUCUGGCUGUGACUUAGUACCCCAUUUUAUCUCCAGCGUUCAUCCAGCUGAUCUGGCUGGCUAGGGACACACUUUCCCCUUUCACUACUCCAUGUAUGUCCCUUCUGAAGCUGCAUCCUUGGUUGAAGAGGGCAACCACCCCUGAGAGAGAAAAGGACUGGGUCAAGGGUCUGCAAGUGGUAAUGCUCUCCUGCUAGAACCUCCAGACAAGCUCUCAAAAUAGUCAUCCUGUGAGGGGCAGUUGGUGGCGUUAGGUGUCUUUAUCGUGUUGUGCAAUUACCACUGUAUAUUCCCGA